GUUGUCCCCCUGUGUUAUAAGUCCACCCCCUGACUUUGAGUCGGAGGUAGUGUGUUGUCCCCCUAGCCUGUGUUAUAAGUCCACUCCCUGACUUUGAGUCGGAGGUAGUGUGUUGUCCCCCUAGCCUGUGUUAUAAGUCCACUCCCUGACUUCGA